AUGUAUAGAAUAUCAAGGUCCAGAGUGUAUAACUGGGUAAUGUAUAGAAUAUCAAGGUCCAGAGUGUAUAACUGGGUAAUGUACAUGUUGAGGUCCAGAGUGUAUAACUGGGUAAUGUAUAGAAUAUCAAGGUCCAGAGUAUAUAACUGGGUAAUGUACAUGUUGAGGUUCAGAGUGUAUAACUGGGUAAUGUACAUGUUGAGGUCCAGAGUGUAUAACUGGGUACUGUACAUGUUGAGGUCCAGAGUGUAUAACUGGGUAAUGUAUAGAAUAUCAAGGUUCAGAGUGUAUAACUGGGUAAUGUACAUGUUGAGGUCCAGAGUGUAUAAAUGGGUACUGUACAUGUUGAGGUCCAGAGUAUAUAACUGGGUAAUGUACAUGUUGAGGUUCAGAGUGUAUAACUGGGUAAUGUACAUGUUGAGGUCCAGAGUGUAUAACUGGGUACUGUACAUGUUGAGGUCCAGAGUGUAUAACUGGGUAAUGUAUAGAAUAUCAAGGUUCAGAGUGUAUAACUGGGUAAUGUACAUGUUGAGGUCCAGAGUGUAUAAAUGGGUACUGUACAUGUUGAGGUUCAGAGUGUAUAUCUGGGUAAUGUACAUGUUGAGGUUCUGAGUGUAUAACUGGGUAAUGUUCAUGAUGAGGUGUUAGCAUCUUUCACAUUUCACAGGUGUAAGCAUCUUUCACAUUUCACAGGUGUUAGCAUCUUUCACAUUUCACAGGUGUUAGCAUCUUUCACAUUUCACAAGAGGAGGGGACAUUUGGUCCAUAUUCUUGCCUGUAACUUGGAAAGAGAGGGUGGAGCUCUUUGUUCCGGUUCAUUCCAUCUCUUCUCUUAAAGCCCAUGCAGUUGUUGAAAGUGUAUUUUUAAAUCAUCAUUGUACGGCUAAUAAAUCACUGUUUAUUUCAUGAAAAUAACAUAAAAUAUAUUUUGGUCAUUUAUUUCCCCGAGCCUCAUUUUGCCAUUGAAAUGCUCAGUCUGAUCAUGUGGCCGUGUUGAUACAAAUGUAAUGUACAGAGCCCUGAUUGGCAGAUAGGAUGGUCCAGACUUGGGUUUCCCAAACUCGGUGCUGGGGCCCCUUGGGUGGACCUUUUGCUUUGUCCCCCAGCACUACUCCGCUGAUUCAGAUAAUCACAGCUUGAUGAUGAGUUGGUUAUUUGAAUCAGCUGUGUAGUUCAAAAACCAAAGUGUGCACCUAGGGGGGGGGG
rnacentral:lncRNA from 13 species